rnacentral:rRNA from 1 species
AUGGCAUAUUACCAACAGGAGGCGUUUCAGAUUAACAUUGAUGAAGAACCUAAUCUCUAUAUGGGUCCUUGGGGAACAUCAUCGGUGCAAUGGGCAGUCUCUAACCUAACCUGCCAGGAGGCACUGAUGGACAUGUCUAGUUAUGCAUGUGUUAGCAUCAAUAGCACAUGCUUAGUUGUAAACUGUACAAUGGAUGGUUUCUAUGGUUAUCGCUGCAAAUGCUCACGGGGAUUUCAAGGAAAUCCAUAUGUCCGGAAAGGUUGUCAAGGUACUCUCUCUCAAACACUAGAAACAAAAAAUAUCCAUUACAACCUUCUGUACAAAAUAAUCACCUACCAACUAGCUCUCUCACAUGUAUAA